rnacentral:lncRNA from 1 species
CUUAUCUGGUGAGGGAGGUUUUCCUUUGUUUCUGGAGCUUGGUUAAAGUAAGCCAAGCUUUAUUUUUCUAACUUGAACUCUGACUAAGUAAAUAAUAUUCUGAUUGUCCUUAAAGAUGCAGAGCAUCUUACUCCGUGUGUGUGUGUGUGUGUUACAGCAGGGGUUCCUAACCUUUUUAUGCUGCAGACUGGCAAACUGCAGACCAGAGAUGACAGUGGACUGGAAGUGACCACAGACUGACAAACUGCGGACCAGAGGUGACUGUGGACCAGCAAACUGCAGACCAGCAGUGACCAGCAUACUGGUACCAGACCGCAGUCUGAGGGUUGGGAACCCCUGUGUUACAGUAAAGCAAAAGCACAAAGUAGGAGGCAUACUCUUAAUUGGAACCCAGGUCAAGGAGAUGGGUACCACAAUGGCAGAUGUGUGGAUGGGACCAACCAUGAUGAAUAUCUUGCACAAAAUUCAGCCUUGGAUGAAGAUAAAAUUUGCCUGCCCUGGAUCAACCUGGUAAUCAAGUCAGUCCUGGGAUUUAUACCAAAUUCUGGUGUUAAUGCACCAUGGACUCUUCAGUGCAUGUUGCUUGGAGCCUUUGGUUCCUGCUGUUCACAGAAUGCUGCAGAUGGCUGCCUCAGCAGGAAGCCCUUCCCCCUUCCUUAAUGGAGCUCGUGGGAAUGCAGGGAUCCUGGAACUGAAGCCCUCCUUCCCUUCCAAACCUCCUCUCCAAACCCCUACUGAGUAAAAGGAAAAAAAUCCCCACAUCCCUGGAAACAUUUUUGCCAGCCUGUUUUUCAGUAAAAUCUUAAAUUAACCACUU